GGUUAAGCGACUAAGCGUACACGGUGGAUGCCCUGGCAGUCAGAGGCGAUGAAGGACGUGCUAAUCUGCGAUAAGCGUCGGUAAGGUGAUAUGAACCGUUAUAACCGGCGAUUUCCGAAUGGGGAAACCCAGUGUGUUUCGACACACUAUCAUUAACUGAAUCCAUAGGUUAAUGAGGCGAACCGGGGGAACUGAAACAUCUAAGUACCCCGAGGAAAAGAAAUCAACCGAGAUUCCCCCAGUAGCGGCGAGCGAACGGGGAGGAGCCCAGAGCCUGAAUCAGUGUGUGUGUUAGUGGAAGCGUCUGGAAAGGCGCGCGAUACAGGGUGACAGCCCCGUACACAAAAAUGCACAUAUUGUGAGCUCGAUGAGUAGGGCGGGACACGUGGUAUCCUGUCUGAAUAUGGGGGGACCAUCCUCCAAGGCUAAAUACUCCUGACUGACCGAUAGUGAACCAGUACCGUGAGGGAAAGGCGAAAAGAACCCCGGCGAGGGGAGUGAAAAAGAACCUGAAACCGUGUACGUACAAGCAGUGGGAGCCUCUUUAUGGGGUGACUGCGUACCUUUUGUAUAAUGGGUCAGCGACUUAUAUUCUGUAGCAAGGUUAACCGAAUAGGGGAGCCGAAGGGAAACCGAGUCUUAACUGGGCGUUAAGUUGCAGGGUAUAGACCCGAAACCCGGUGAUCUAGCCAUGGGCAGGUUGAAGGUUGGGUAACACUAACUGGAGGACCGAACCGACUAAUGUUGAAAAAUUAGCGGAUGACUUGUGGCUGGGGGUGAAAGGCCAAUCAAACCGGGAGAUAGCUGGUUCUCCCCGAAAGCUAUUUAGGUAGCGCCUCGUGAAUUCAUCUCCGGGGGUAGAGCACUGUUUCGGCAAGGGGGUCAUCCCGACUUACCAACCCGAUGCAAACUGCGAAUACCGGAGAAUGUUAUCACGGGAGACACACGGCGGGUGCUAACGUCCGUCGUGAAGAGGGAAACAACCCAGACCGCCAGCUAAGGUCCCAAAGUCAUGGUUAAGUGGGAAACGAUGUGGGAAGGCCCAGACAGCCAGGAUGUUGGCUUAGAAGCAGCCAUCAUUUAAAGAAAGCGUAAUAGCUCACUGGUCGAGUCGGCCUGCGCGGAAGAUGUAACGGGGCUAAACCAUGCACCGAAGCUGCGGCAGCGACGCUUAUGCGUUGUUGGGUAGGGGAGCGUUCUGUAAGCCUGUGAAGGUGUACUGUGAGGUAUGCUGGAGGUAUCAGAAGUGCGAAUGCUGACAUAAGUAACGAUAAAGCGGGUGAAAAGCCCGCUCGCCGGAAGACCAAGGGUUCCUGUCCAACGUUAAUCGGGGCAGGGUGAGUCGACCCCUAAGGCGAGGCCGAAAGGCGUAGUCGAUGGGAAACAGGUUAAUAUUCCUGUACUUGGUGUUACUGCGAAGGGGGGACGGAGAAGGCUAUGUUGGCCGGGCGACGGUUGUCCCGGUUUAAGCGUGUAGGCUGGUUUUCCAGGCAAAUCCGGAAAAUCAAGGCUGAGGCGUGAUGACGAGGCACUACGGUGCUGAAGCAACAAAUGCCCUGCUUCCAGGAAAAGCCUCUAAGCAUCAGGUAACAUCAAAUCGUACCCCAAACCGACACAGGUGGUCAGGUAGAGAAUACCAAGGCGCUUGAGAGAACUCGGGUGAAGGAACUAGGCAAAAUGGUGCCGUAACUUCGGGAGAAGGCACGCUGAUAUGUAGGUGAAGNNNNNNNNNNNNNNNNNNNNNNNNNNNNNNNNNNNNNNNNNNNNNNNNNNNNNNNNNNNNNNNNNNNNNNNNNNNNNNNNNNNNNNNNNNNNNNNNNNNNNGCGAAGCUCUUGAUCGAAGCCCCGGUAAACGGCGGCCGUAACUAUAACGGUCCUAAGGUAGCGAAAUUCCUUGUCGGGUAAGUUCCGACCUGCACGAAUGGCGUAAUGAUGGCCAGGCUGUCUCCACCCGAGACUCAGUGAAAUUGAACUCGCUGUGAAGAUGCAGUGUACCCGCGGCAAGACGGAAAGACCCCGUGAACCUUUACUAUAGCUUGACACUGAACAUUGAGCCUUGAUGUGUAGGAUAGGUGGGAGGCUUUGAAGUGUGGACGCCAGUCUGCAUGGAGCCGACCUUGAAAUACCACCCUUUAAUGUUUGAUGUUCUAACGUUGGCCCCUUAUCGGGGUUGCGGACAGUGUCUGGUGGGUAGUUUGACUGGGGCGGUCUCCUCCUAAAGAGUAACGGAGGAGCACGAAGGUUGGCUAAUCCUGGUCGGACAUCAGGAGGUUAGUGCAAUGGCAUAAGCCAGCUUGACUGCGAGCGUGACGGCGCGAGCAGGUGCGAAAGCAGGUCAUAGUGAUCCGGUGGUUCUGAAUGGAAGGGCCAUCGCUCAACGGAUAAAAGGUACUCCGGGGAUAACAGGCUGAUACCGCCCAAGAGUUCAUAUCGACGGCGGUGUUUGGCACCUCGAUGUCGGCUCAUCACAUCCUGGGGCUGAAGUAGGUCCCAAGGGUAUGGCUGUUCGCCAUUUAAAGUGGUACGCGAGCUGGGUUUAGAACGUCGUGAGACAGUUCGGUCCCUAUCUGCCGUGGGCGCUGGAGAACUGAGGGGGGCUGCUCCUAGUACGAGAGGACCGGAGUGGACGCAUCACUGGUGUUCGGGUUGUCAUGCCAAUGGCACUGCCCGGUAGCUAAAUGCGGAAGAGAUAAGUGCUGAAAGCAUCUAAGCACGAAACUUGCCCCGAGAUGAGUUCUCCCUGACCCUUUAAGGGUCCUGAAGGAACGUUGAAGACGACGACGUUGAUAGGCCGGGUGUGUAAGCGCAGCGAUGCGUUGAGCUAACCGGUACUAAUGAACCGUGAGGCUUAACCUU
rnacentral:rRNA from 1 species